rnacentral:rRNA from 1 species
AGAGUUUGAUCCUGGCUCAGAAGGAAUGCUAGCUAUAUGUUUAACACAUGCAAGUCGAAUGUUAUUUUCGAGGAGCUAGGCAGAAGGAAAAGUGGCUCCUAGCUAAAGGUAGCUUGUCUCGGCCUGGAGGUGAGAAGAGUUGAGAACAAAGUGGCGAACGGGUGCGUAACGCGUGGGAAUCUACCGAAUAGUUCGGGCCAAAUCCUGAAGAAAGUUAAAAAGUGCUGUUUGAUGAGCCUGCAUAGUAUUAUGUAGUAUCCAAUGACGCUUAGCUGGUCUUCUCGGACGAUCAGCCACACUGGGACUGAGACACGACCUGGACUCCCACGGGGGCAGCAGUUGGGAAUCUUAGACAAUGUGCAAAAGCCCGAUCUAGCAAUAAAGCGUGGGUGAGGAAGGGCAAUGCCGCUUGUAAAGCUUUUCAUCGAGUGCGCGAUCAUGACAAGACUCAAGAAAGAUACCCCGGCUAACUCCGUGCCAGCAGCCACGGUAAGAAGGGGGGUAAGUGCUCUUCGGAAUGACUGGCGUAAAGGGCAUGUAGGCGGUGAAUCGGGUUGAAAGUGAAAGUAGCCAAAAACUGGCGGAAUGCUCUCGAAACCAAUUCACUUAAAUGAGAAAGAGGAGAGUGGAAUUUCGUGUGUAGGAGUGAAAUUCGAAGAUCUAAGAAGGAAGACCAAAAGCGAAGGAAGCUCUCUGGGACCCUACCGACGCUGGGGUACGAAAGCAUGGGGAGCGAACAAGAUUAGAUACCCUGGUAGUCCAUGCUGUAAAUGAUGAGUGUUCGUCCUUGGUCUAUGCGGAUCAGAGGCCCAGCUAACGCAUGAAAACUCCGCUUGGGGAGUACGAUCGCAAGACCGAAACUCAAAGGAAUUGACGGGGGCCUGCACAAGCGGUGGAGCAUGUGGUUUAAUUUGAUACAACGCGCAAAACCUUACCAGCCCUUGACAUAUGAACAACAAAACAUGUCCUUAACGGGAUUUUCAUAUAUGUGUUGUUGUAUGGCUAUCGUCAGCUCAUAUCGUGAGAUGUUUGGUCAAGUCCUUUAACGAACGAAACCCUUGUUUUGUGUUACUGAGACAUGCGCCUAAGUAGAAAGUCUUUGGGCAGAGAAAGACUCGGCAUUCAGGCGAUCUGCCCGGUGGUGUGGUAUGUAUUGGGUUUAGUACUCCUCGCCAAAACAAAACGGCUACGAAAGAAAGAAAAAGAUGUGUGUUGCACUCACGAAGGACUACUAGUGAUAUACUAGAGGAAGAUGGGGAUGACGUCAAAGAAAAUCCUUGUGUCAGUGGAUCAAAUCCACUUCUAAGCUGGCGAAGGGUCUUUAGACACGUAGCCAGUCUAAAAGAGUUCCUAUUCAUCAAUCAGAAAUCAAGACAAACUGGCACUACGGUGAGACGUGAAAACACCCGAUCCCAUUUCGACCUCGAUAUGUGGAAUCGUCUUGUGCCAUAUGUACUGAGAUUGUUCGGGAGACAUGGUUAAAGCUCAGAUUUCAUGUUCAUUGAAUGAAGAUCGUAGUGUAUAAAGU